rnacentral:sRNA from 1 species
UCAGCAAUAGAAUUCAGAAUUCAGAACUCAGUUAAUAGUCAUCUUUACAACUUUUUCCAAAAACUUCCUUUUGCAAUGUGUAGUUCAUUUGAUGAAUGUGGUACAGAUCAACAAUGGACCUACUAUUUUGCAAAAUGGAACAUCGGCUGGGGGAUAUUUAUUCUAAUAUUUUGCCUAAUCUUCAUUGUUAGCACGAGCUCGGAUAAGUCGAUAGAGAUAAUUUCUGAGAGCACGGAGAAUGGAGUAUUGAAAGAAUCGAGAUUCAAUAUACUUCCAAUUCUUUCUUAUGGGUCCUGUAUAUUUGCGUCAUCAUACAUGCUAAUAUUCAAACAUUUUACUCUGUAGAGUAAGAAAACCAUGUUCACUAUAGGGAAGUACUUAAGCCAUUUAAUGCCGUGUUGGGGUUUUCUCACCGUAUUUUUACCAAUUGUGCAUUUCAUUGUCUUGCGCAGAGUGUGCAAAUAUUACCGUGAGCGCUGGCGAUGAUCCUCUUCGAAAUUCUUCGUCUUCAGAGUACUGCAAGGAGUAACUUCAACUCAAAUGUAAUUAAACACCCCCGACAAUGGUCAUGCGAUCAUAUUCCUCAGCGACAAACCGCUGGGCAUGCAUUUUUUACACACAGAGGAAGGAACUCGACACAAACACACAUACUCUCUUAUGUGAGCACACUCUCUCCCACUCAGAAAUGUUUGUAUCUUUCAAUACACGAUAAUAACUAGUAA